rnacentral:rRNA from 1 species
UGCCUUGUUCGACUUCUCUUUCCUUUAAAUCACAUUAUGUAUAUAAGUUUUUUAUAUUUUAAUUAUAAUAAAUCCCUUAGAUUUAUAAUAUAAUUCAUCGGUAAGAGCGACGGGCGGUGUGUACAAAGGGCAGGGACGUAUUCCUCUUGGUAUGUUAAACCAAAGAAGAGUACAAGGCAUUCCUAGUUAAGGCCAAGUGUAAUAAUUAACAAUACACUAUCCCCACCUUAAAUUAAUUAUAUUUAUAUUAAUUAAUCACGAUUUUUAAAUGAUUACCGAUUUACUUUCGAAAUAGGUUGUAAUAUAAUAUUAUAUAUUAUAAAGUAUAUAUACUUAUUAAUGUAAUUAUUGUAGCACGUGUGCAGCCCAGAACAUCUGAGGGCAUCACAGACCUGUUAUUGCCAUAAUCUUACUCUAUUUUAACACAUAUUUAGUAAUGACAGCGGUUCCUUUAAUUUUAUGCUAUAAUUAUAAUUUUCAAUAGCAAUAAAAGGUUACGGUCACGUUCGUUGCAUUCAUUUAUUAUAUAAUAAUAUAUAUAAUAUGUUCACUUUAAAUCCAUAAAUAAAUGGCAGAACUAAAUAUUAUAAUAUAUUAUAUAUUUUAUUUACUGAAACGCAAUUAAGCAGACAAAUCACUCCACGAACUAAGAACGGCCAUGCACCACCUAUCAUAUAAUCAUGAAAGGACUAUCAUUUUUAUGCAUAUAAAAAUAUAUUUUAUAUACUAUCGCCUGUCAAUCCUCAAUAUGUCUGGACCUGGUAAGAUUUCCCGGGUUGAGUCAAAUUAAGCCACAUGCUCCACGCGUUCUUGUGGUGCCCUAU